AAAGUGCGAUAAGCAUUGUAAAUUGCAGUGACGCGAAUCAUAGAUCCUUGAACGCAACUGGCGCUGGAGGGAUAUCCUUCUAGCAUGGCUGUUUCAGUGUCUGAAACAUCACAACCUAACAUAAUGUAUUUGACAAAUAAUAUUUACUAGAAAUAGUGAGUGUAACAAGUCUUAUAUUAAAGAUGUAUGUGUGGGUCUUUGGAUCCAUCGUAUCGGUCACUGACAUUCAGUGAUUUCGAUGAGACACUCAAUUACUCGUAUACACAUAGAAUAAAUACUAUCCUUUAUCAAUCUGCAUCUGAAAUCAGGCAAGAACACCCGCUGAACUUAA
rnacentral:misc_RNA from 1 species